GAAAUGCGAUAAGUAAUGUGAAUUGCAGAAUUCAGUGAAUCAUCGAAUCUUGGAACGCACAUUGCGCCCGCCAGUAUUCUGGCGGGCAUGCCUGUCCGAGCGUCAUUUCAACCAUCAAGCCCCCGGGCUUGUGUUGGGGACCUGCGGCUGCCCGCAGGCCCUGAAAACCAGUGGCGGGCUCGCUGUCACACCGAGCGUAGUAGCAAUCACCUCGCUCAGGGCGUGCUGCGGGUUCCGGCCGUUAAACAGCCUUACAAAACCCAAGGUUGACCUCGGAUCAGGUAGGAAGACCCGCUGAACUUAAGC
rnacentral:misc_RNA from 1 species